rnacentral:rRNA from 1 species
AAUGGUGGCAACACUGAUCCAGCCAUGCCGCGUGCAGGAUGACGGCCCUAUGGGUUGUAAACUGCUUUUGUACGGGAAAAAACCCUCGUUCGUGAACGAGGCUGAUGGUACCGUAAGAAUAAGGAUCGGCUAACUCCGUGCCAGCAGCCGCGGUAAUACGGAGGAUCCAAGCGUUAUCCGGANUUAUUGGGUUUAAAGGGUUCGUAGGCGGAUUAAUAAGUCAGUGGUGAAAGCCUGCAGCUUAACUGUAGAAGUGCCAUUGCUACUGUUAGUCUUGAGUGUAUUUGACGUGGGCGGAAUGUGCAGUGUAGCGGUGAAAUGCUUAGAUAUUGCACAGAACACCGAUUGCGAAGGCAGCUCACUAAACUAUAACUGACGCUGGGGCACGAAAGCAUGGGGAUCAAA